rnacentral:rRNA from 1 species
UGAGGAACAUGACCUUCGGCGGGGGAUAGCCGGCCCAACGGCCGGGUAAUACCGCGUACGACCUUUUGGGGACAUCCCCGAUUGGUGAAAGCAGCAAUGCGCCGAAAGAGUGCCUCGCGGCCUAUCAGCUAGUUGGUGGGGUAAUGGCUCACCAAGGCGACGACGGGUAGCUGGUCUGAGAGGAUGGCCAGCCACAUUGGGACUGAGACACGGCCCAGACUCCGUACGGGGAGCAGCAGG